rnacentral:rRNA from 1 species
UACGUAGGGCGCAAGCGUUGUCCGGAAUUAUUGGGCGUAAAGAGCUCGUAGGCGGCUUGUCACGUCGGGUGUGAAAGCCCGGGGCUUAACCCCGGGUCUGCAUUCGAUACGGGCAGGCGUAGAGUGUGGUAGGGGAGAUCGGAAUUCCUGGUGUAGCGGUGAAAUGCGUAGAUAUCGGGAGGAACACCAGUGGCGAAGGCGGCUGCCUGGGCCAGAUCUGACGCUGAGGCGCGAAAGCGUGGGGAGCAAACAGGG